rnacentral:rRNA from 1 species
CAGACGGAGAGUUUGAUCCUGGCUCAGGAUGAACGUUGGCGGCGUGCCUAACACAUGCAAGUCGAACGGUGAUAGCAAUAUCAGAGUGGCGCACGGGUGAGUAACACGUAGCUUACCUGCCUCAAAGAGCGGGAUAACGUCUCGAAAGAGACGCUAAUACCGCAUAAGCUCCCGGACUGUAGAGGUCUGAGAGAAAAGGUUAAAAGACCGCUUCGAGAUGGGGCUGCGGCCCAUCA